rnacentral:rRNA from 1 species
CCGUAAAACAUGUACUUACACCACAAUCCGCCAGAGUAUUACGAGUACAAACUUAAAACUCAAAGGACUUGACGGUGUCCCACCCACCUAGAGGAGCCUGUUCUAUAAUCGAUAUUCCCCGCUAAACCUACCCAUUUCUUGCUUCUCAGCCUGUAUACCUCCGUCGCAAGCUUACCCUAUGAAUGACUUAGUGAGCAAAAAGGCUAUUACACCCACACGUCAGGUCAAGGUGCAGCCUACGAAAUGGUGAGAAAUGGGCUACAAUUUCUACCACAGAACAUACGAAAGACCCUAUGAAACUAAAUCAUGAAGGAGGAUUUAGUAGUAAAAAGGAAAUAGAGUGUCCUUUUUAACCCGGCACUGGGACGCGUACACACCGCCCGUCACCCUCUUCAAUACUACCCACCCUGUAUUUAACACAUGCUCCAUAAAAGAAGAGGCAAGUCGUAACAUGGUAAGCAUACUGGAAAGUGUGCUUGGAUUAAU